rnacentral:rRNA from 1 species
UGGGGAAUUGUUCACAAUGGGCGCAAGCCUGAUGACGCAACGCCGCGUGGGGGAUGAAGGCCUUUCAGGUCGUAAACCCCUUUCGGCAGGGACGAAGCGAUCUCGUGACGGUACCUGCAGAAGAAGCCUCGGCUAACUACGUGCCAGCAGCCGCGGUAACACGUAGGAGGCGAGCGUUGUCCGGAAUCAUUGGGCGUAGAGAGCGCGCAGGCGGCUUGGCAAGUCGGGUGUGAAAUCCCGGGGCUCAACCCCGGGACUGCAUUCGAUACUGUCAGGCUAGAGGUAGGUAGGGGAGAUCGGAAUUCCUGGUGUAGCGGUGAAAUGCGCAGAUAUCAGGAGGAACACCGGUGGCGAAGGCGGAUCUCUGGGCCUUACCUGACGCUCAGGCGCGAAAGCUAGGGGAGCGAA